GGGACAGUAUGGCACCAGGUGUCAGCUAUGUCUCACCUAGGUUGAGGUAUGACAGUCCUUCUCGGGCUUAGUACCCGUGAACACCGGAGGAUCCAACUGAAGAAACAUGUUCAUCUUAGAACUAGCUAAAUCCCCUUGGUGGCAAGAGAAAGUAGAUGUAUCAUUCAAUCUCUAGACUUGAGAAGCCACUAUCUGAGAAAAAAAUUUGAUGCCUCCCCUUAGGUGUCCAUCAGAAACGUUAGGAUUGGAGGUCGAAGUUGGAGGUUGAACUAGACAAACAGUUGGAGGAGGAAAGUGUAGAUUCCCG
rnacentral:lncRNA from 1 species